CAGCUGCCAUGAUGAACAACAGCUCAAGAGGCUCUUCCCCUACCAGGAUGAUGGAUGAAGACAAGUAAACUGUUCUCCAAGAGCCUGAAGUCCCCUCAGUUCCCAGCAUUACAUCUUCAGCUGAGCAUCCAAUAGCAGUUAAUGUGACUCCAAAAGGGCCCCCUCCUUUCCCAGGAGUCCCUCUUA